rnacentral:rRNA from 1 species
AGCGAACGCUGGCGGCAUGCUUAACACAUGCAAGUCGCACGGGCAGCAAUGUCAGUUGCGGGCGGGUGGGGAGCGGGUCGGAACGGGUACUGAGGUGGGGGACAACCCUGGGAAACUGGGGCUAAUACGGCAUAUGGGCUAAGACCCGAAGCCGGGGUGUGCCUUUGGCGCGGGCUUGGUCCGAUUCGGUGGUUGGUGGGGUAAUGGCAUACCAUGCAUGGGAUCGGUGGCUGGUGGGAUAGGAAGGCACUCCAGGCUGGAACUGGGGCACGGCCCAGACCCGUACGGGAGGGAGGAGUGGGGAAUACUGGACAAUGGGGGAAAGCCUGAUCCAGCAAUGCCGGGUGGGUGAAGAAGGUCUUCGGAAAGUAAAGCCCUCUCGACGGGGACGAUGGUGACGGUACCCGUAGAAGAAGCCCCGGCUAACUACGUG